UGUGCCUUGACGCGCGUGCCUCCUCCUGAGCAAACCCGUGCGACACAAACCAGAGCGCGAGCGCAGGGACUAAAGUACAGGAAACUGGACUCAAACUCACGACCAGGCUCCGGACCCGCGGCACCAGAUGGAGCGGCUUCGUCCCCGCGCGGCUCCUCGGUGAUGGACACACUUCCUGUUUCCCCCGGAGCCGUCUCCACGACAACCGCCGCCAAUGCCUCCCGUACUGGUCGCCAUGGAAACGCCUCAGCUGGACCAGAGCGUCGCCGCUGAGGCUUCGGAGACGAGCGAAGUGGAGACGCUGCUGUCGUCCAUCCACCUGGACAGUGGUGUUUCUGGAUCAGGCUGAUUUCUCUGAGUUCCCGAUGGCCGUGAUUGACAGACGUUUGAACCAAUCAGAGAAAAGACAGAUAUGACCCAAACGACAAACGAGGAAGUUAGUGUUUUUUUAUGAAGUGUCGGCCGAAGAGCAGAGACUGAUGAGAACGAGCUAAAGGCUUAGAACAAGACGUCAUUAGGCGCAUUGCACUGUCCAUAGAACAGGACUCCCCCCUCAGGACUCUGCCCUCAGGACUCUCC
rnacentral:lncRNA from 1 species